rnacentral:rRNA from 1 species
AACGAACGCUGGCGGCAGGCUUAACACAUGUAAGUCGAGCGCCUCGCAAGAGGAGCGGCAGACGGGUGAGUAACGCGUGGGAAUCUACCCAUCUCUACGGAAUAACGCAUGGAAACGUGUGCUAAUACCGUAUACCGCCCCGUUGGGGGGAAAGAUUUAUCGGAGAUGGAUGAGCCCGCGUUGGAUUAGCUAGUUGGUGG